GGAUUAGUGGCGAACGGGUGAGUAACACGUGGGCAAUCUGCCCUGCACUCUGGGACAAGCCCUGGAAACGGGGUCUAAUACCGGAUAUUGACCUUCACGGGCAUCUGUGAGGUUCGAAAGCUCCGGCGGUGCAGGAUGAGCCCGCGGCCUAUCAGCUUGUUGGUGAGGUAAUGGCUCACCAAGGCGACGACGGGUAGCCGGCCUGAGAGGGCGACCGGCCACACUGGGACUGAGACACGGCCCAGACUCCUACGGGAGGCAGCAGUGGGGAAUAUUGCACAAUGGGCGAAAGCCUGAUGCAGCGACGCCGCGUGAGGGAUGACGGCCUUCGGGUUGUAAACCUCUUUCAGCAGGGAAGAAGCGAAAGUGACGGUACCUGCAGAAGAAGCGCCGGCUAACUACGUGCCAGCAGCCGCGGUAAUACGUAGGGCGCAAGCGUUGUCCGGAAUUAUUGGGCGUAAAGAGCUCGUAGGCGGCUUGUCACGUCGGUUGUGAAAGCCCGGGGCUUAACCCCGGGUCUGCAGUCGAUACGGGCAGGCUAGAGUUCGGUAGGGGAGAUCGGAAUUCCUGGUGUAGCGGUGAAAUGCGCAGAUAUCAGGAGGAACACCGGUGGCGAAGGCGGAUCUCUGGGCCGAUACUGACGCUGAGGAGCGAAAGCGUGGGGAGCGAACAGGAUUAGAUACCCUGGUAGUCCACGCCGUAAACGGUGGGCACUAGGUGUGGG
rnacentral:rRNA from 1 species